GACGAACGCUGGCGGCGCGCUUAACACAUGCAAGUCGAACGGAAAGGCCUGCUUUCCCUUGUGGAUUGCGGGUACUCGAGUGGCGAACGGGUGAGUAACACGUGAGUGAUCUGCCCCCAACUUGGGUAUAAGCCUGGGAAACUGGGUCUAAUUCCCGAUAGGACUGCAGGGUGGUGCCUGUGGUGGAAAACGAUUUUCUAGUGGUUGGGGAUGAGCUCGCGGCCUAUCAGCUUGUUGGUGGGGUAAUGGCCUACCAAGGCGGCGACGGGUAGCCGGCCUGGGAGGGUGGACGGCCACAUUUGGACGGAGAUACGGCCCAGACUACUACGGGAGGCAGCAGUGGGGAAUAUUGCACAAUGGGCGGAAGCCUGAGGCAGCGACGCCGAGUGGGGGAUGACGGCCUUCGGGUUGUAAACUCCUUUCGACCGCGAGGAAGCCACCUGGUUGGAAGGGUGGUGACGGUAGUGGUAGAAGAAGCACCGGCUAACUACGUG
rnacentral:rRNA from 1 species